GCCACUUUACGAACCGGUUAUGACGUUCUUAUAUCUAUUCGACAGAUAAUUAUGUUAAUAUUAUAAUCCAAAUAAUACACCGUGAUAUUUUAUCUUACAUUUAUGUUGUGUACAAGACAAAUAUGUUAUAAUUUUAUCAUCGAUUUUGUUAUAUUAUUUUAUGAUUAUGCCAUGUUUACUUAACCUAUUUGUUAUGUCACCAAGUUUGUUACGCAUGUUUUAUCUCCAAAUUAUGAGUUUAUUAUGUUAC
rnacentral:lncRNA from 1 species